rnacentral:misc_RNA from 1 species
UCCGGUUUGUCACCGGCAGUCUCAUUAGAGUGCCCUUUCGUAGCAACUAAUGACAAGGGUUGCGCUCGUUGCGGGACUUAGCCCAACAUCUCACGACACGAGCUGACGACGGCCACGCAGCACCUGUGUCCUGGCUCUCUUUCGAGCACUCCCACAUCUCUGCAGGAUUCCAGGCAUGUCAAGGGUAGGUAAGGUUUUUCGCGUUGCAUCGAAUUAAACCACAUCAUCCACCGCUUGUGCGGGUCCCCGUCAAUUCCUUUGAGUUUUAGCCUUGCGGCCGUACUCCCCAGGCGGGGCGCUUAAUGCGUUAGCUGCGUUACUAAGGGAUUUAAUCCCCCGACAACCAGUUGACAUAGUUUAGGGCGUGGACUAC